rnacentral:tRNA from 1 species
GCUUGGGUGGCUUAGUUGGUUAAGCAUCCGACUUUGGCUCAGGUCAUGGUCUCACGGUUUGUGGGUUUGAGCCCCGCAUCAGGCU